UUAAGCGACUAAGCGUACACGGUGGAUGCCCUGGCAGUCAGAGGCGAUGAAGGACGUGCUAAUCUGCGAUAAGCGUCGGUAAGGUGAUAUGAACCGUUAUAACCGGCGAUUUCCGAAUGGGGAAACCCAGUGUGUUUCGACACACUAUCAUUAACUGAAUCCAUAGGUUAAUGAGGCGAACCGGGGGAACUGAAACAUCUAAGUACCCCGAGGAAAAGAAAUCAACCGAGAUUCCCCAGUAGCGGCGAGCGAACGGGGAGCAGCCAGAGCCUGAAUCAGUGUGUGUGUUAGUGGAAGCGUCUGGAAAGGCGCGCGAUACAGGGUGACAGCCCCGUACACAAAAAUGCACAUGCUGUGAGCUCGAUGAGUAGGGCGGGACACGUGGUAUCCUGUCUGAAUAUGGGGGGACCAUCCUCCAAGGCUAAAUACUCCUGACUGACCGAUAGUGAACCAGUACCGUGAGGGAAAGGCGAAAAGAACCCCGGCGAGGGGAGUGAAAAAGAACCUGAAACCGUGUACGUACAAGCAGUGGGAGCACGCUUAGGCGUGUGACUGCGUACCUUUUGUAUAAUGGGUCAGCGACUUAUAUUCUGUAGCAAGGUUAACCGAAUAGGGGAGCCGAAGGGAAACCGAGUCUUAACUGGGCGUUAAGUUGCAGGGUAUAGACCCGAAACCCGGUGAUCUAGCCAUGGGCAGGUUGAAGGUUGGGUAACACUAACUGGAGGACCGAACCGACUAAUGUUGAAAAAUUAGCGGAUGACUUGUGGCUGGGGGUGAAAGGCCAAUCAAACCGGGAGAUAGCUGGUUCUCCCCGAAAGCUAUUUAGGUAGCGCCUCGUGAAUUCAUCUCCGGGGGUAGAGCACUGUUUCGGCAAGGGGGUCAUCCCGACUUACCAACCCGAUGCAAACUGCGAAUACCGGAGAAUGUUAUCACGGGAGACACACGGCGGGUGCUAACGUCCGUCGUGAAGAGGGAAACAACCCAGACCGCCAGCUAAGGUCCCAAAGUCAUGGUUAAGUGGGAAACGAUGUGGGAAGGCCCAGACAGCCAGGAUGUUGGCUUAGAAGCAGCCAUCAUUUAAAGAAAGCGUAAUAGCUCACUGGUCGAGUCGGCCUGCGCGGAAGAUGUAACGGGGCUAAACCAUGCACCGAAGCUGCGGCAGCGACGCUGAUGCGUUGUUGGGUAGGGGAGCGUUCUGUAAGCCUGCGAAGGUGUGCUGUGAGGCAUGCUGGAGGUAUCAGAAGUGCGAAUGCUGACAUAAGUAACGAUAAAGCGGGUGAAAAGCCCGCUCGCCGGAAGACCAAGGGUUCCUGUCCAACGUUAAUCGGGGCAGGGUGAGUCGACCCCUAAGGCGAGGCCGAAAGGCGUAGUCGAUGGGAAACAGGUUAAUAUUCCUGUACUUGGUGUUACUGCGAAGGGGGACGGAGAAGGCUAUGUUGGCCGGGCGACGGUUGUCCCGGUUUAAGCGUGUAGGCUGGUUUUCCAGGCAAAUCCGGAAAAUCAAGGCUGAGGCGUGAUGACGAGGCACUACGGUGCUGAAGCAACAAAUGCCCUGCUUCCAGGAAAAGCCUCUAAGCAUCAGGUAACAUCAAAUCGUACCCCAAACCGACACAGGUGGUCAGGUAGAGAAUACCAAGGCGCUUGAGAGAACUCGGGUGAAGGAACUAGGCAAAAUGGUGCCGUAACUUCGGGAGAAGGCACGCUGAUAUGUAGGUGAGGUCCCUCGCGGAUGGAGCUGAAAUCAGUCGAAGAUACCAGCUGGCUGCAACUGUUUAUUAAAAACACAGCACUGUGCAAACACGAAAGUGGACGUAUACGGUGUGACGCCUGCCCGGUGCCGGAAGGUUAAUUGAUGGGGUUAGCGCAAGCGAAGCUCUUGAUCGAAGCCCCGGUAAACGGCGGCCGUAACUAUAACGGUCCUAAGGUAGCGAAAUUCCUUGUCGGGUAAGUUCCGACCUGCACGAAUGGCGUAAUGAUGGCCAGGCUGUCUCCACCCGAGACUCAGUGAAAUUGAACUCGCUGUGAAGAUGCAGUGUACCCGCGGCAAGACGGAAAGACCCCGUGAACCUUUACUAUAGCUUGACACUGAACAUUGAGCCUUGAUGUGUAGGAUAGGUGGGAGGCUUAGAAGUGUGGACGCCAGUCUGCAUGGAGCCGACCUUGAAAUACCACCCUUUAAUGUUUGAUGUUCUAACGUUGACCCGUAAUCCGGGUUGCGGACAGUGUCUGGUGGGUAGUUUGACUGGGGCGGUCUCCUCCUAAAGAGUAACGGAGGAGCACGAAGGUUGGCUAAUCCUGGUCGGACAUCAGGAGGUUAGUGCAAUGGCAUAAGCCAGCUUGACUGCGAGCGUGACGGCGCGAGCAGGUGCGAAAGCAGGUCAUAGUGAUCCGGUGGUUCUGAAUGGAAGGGCCAUCGCUCAACGGAUAAAAGGUACUCCGGGGAUAACAGGCUGAUACCGCCCAAGAGUUCAUAUCGACGGCGGUGUUUGGCACCUCGAUGUCGGCUCAUCACAUCCUGGGGCUGAAGUAGGUCCCAAGGGUAUGGCUGUUCGCCAUUUAAAGUGGUACGCGAGCUGGGUUUAGAACGUCGUGAGACAGUUCGGUCCCUAUCUGCCGUGGGCGCUGGAGAACUGAGGGGGGCUGCUCCUAGUACGAGAGGACCGGAGUGGACGCAUCACUGGUGUUCGGGUUGUCAUGCCAAUGGCACUGCCCGGUAGCUAAAUGCGGAAGAGAUAAGUGCUGAAAGCAUCUAAGCACGAAACUUGCCCCGAGAUGAGUUCUCCCUGACUCCUUGAGAGUCCUGAAGGAACGUUGAAGACGACGACGUUGAUAGGCCGGGUGUGUAAGCGCAGCGAUGCGUUGAGCUAACCGGUACUAAUGAACCGUGAGGCUUAACCUU
rnacentral:rRNA from 1 species